rnacentral:rRNA from 1 species
UACGGGGGGAGCAAGCGUUGUUCGGAUUUACUGGGCGUAAAGGGCGCGUAGGCGGUCACUACAAGUCAGUUGUGAAAUCUCUGGGCUUAACUCAGAACGGUCAACUGAUACUGUCGGACUAGAGUGCAGAAGGGGCAACUGGAAUUCUCGGUGUAGCGGUGAAAUGCGUAGAUAUCGAGAGGAGCACCUGCGGCGAAGGCGGGUUGCUGGGCUGACACUGACGCUGAGGCGCGAAAGCUAGGGGAGCGAACGGG